AAUUAUCUGCUACGAUCUGGGAGAUAUCUCCAGCAAUGAAGUUUAGAAUUUUGAUCAAUUUUCUAAUGAUCUUCCCUGCAUGCAUUUCCUCGCAGAUUACCCUGACAGAAUCUGGUGGCGGCAUCAAGAGACCAGGAGAGACUCUACAACUGACCUGCACUGUUUCAUUUGAUUUAACAAGCAAUCGUGUGGGUUGGAUUCGUCAGCCAUCAGGAAAAGGUCUGGAAUGGAUUGUAACCAUCUAUAGCGAUGCAAGUGCCAACUAUAACCCUGGUCUCCGAAGCCGGAUCAGCAUCACAAGGGACACCUCCAAAAGACAGGUUUUCCUGCAGCUGAGCAGCCUGAAACCUGAAGACACCUCCAUGUAUUACUGUGCGAGAGACACAGAGAGAAAAGCCUUAUUAGAGGCAGAUCAAAAAAUUUCUUGGUAG